rnacentral:rRNA from 1 species
UGCCUAACACAUGCAAGUCGAACGGCGUACUCACUGUACCAAUACAGUAGGUACGUAGUGGCGCACGGGUGAGUAACACGUGAGUGAUCUGCCUCCGAGUUUGGGAUAACUUGCCGAAAGGCGGGCUAAUACCGAAUGAGGCCACAGUCCCUUCGGGGACAGGGGUUAAAGGUGCCUGGGUAACCAGGUACCACUUGGAGAUGAGCUCGCGGCCCAUCAGCUAGUUGGUAAGGUAACGGCUUACCAAGGCUAUGACGGGUAGCUGGUCUGAGAGGACGACCAGCCACACUGGAACUGAGACACGGUCCAGACUCCUACGGGAGGCAGCAGUGGGGAAUAUUGCGCAAUGGGGGAAACCCUGACGCAGCAACGCCGCGUGGGUGAUGAAGGCCUUCGGGUCGUAAAGCCC